rnacentral:rRNA from 1 species
GCGUGAGUGAUGAAGGCCCUAGGGUUGUAAAGCUCUUUCAGCUGGGAAGAUAAUGACGGUACCAGCAGAAGAAGCCCCGGCUAACUCCGUGCCAGCAGCCGCGGUGAUACGGAGGGGGCUAGCGUUGUUCGGAAUUACUGGGCGUAAAGCGCACGUAGGCGGUUUGUUAAGUUAGAGGUGAAAGCCCGGAGCUCAACUCCGGAAUUGCCUUUGAUACUGGCAGACUUGAGAAUGAGAGAGGUAAGUGGAAUUCCUAGUGUAGAGGUGAAAUUCGU